rnacentral:lncRNA from 1 species
UUGGACUGGACGCAGAGCAAUACGGUCAACAAGGUAAAGACCAUGGCAGCUGCAGUGAGUGUGCAUAGCGGCAGAUAUGCAUGGUGAGUUUGAUCCCCUUCCACACCAACUUGUGGUUUUGUUCUUCCAUGGCCGAUGUGUUAUACAUACGCUGGAUCUAAAUUCAGAACAUGCUACUUCUGUAUUCCUUUAUUUUUUGCACUGUACGCAUGGUUACUGCUAGCUUAACACAAUGUUCUGAUGUUUCUCUGGCAACAUGCAUUGAAUUGAUGUACUGGUGGUUGGUUGAGUGUGCGUACAGGACAUAUCUAUGUUCAGUAACGAUCCAGACCGCAAAUUUAAGUUGCCGGAUAUAUCUGCGUGUACAGAAGCUUCUCAUGUAUGCAUGUUAAUGUCAACUGCUGUGGUAUAUACUGGUGAUUUACUUGAUUUUUCAAAAAAUUACAUCCUAUAGGUGUGUUUGAUUUAGUGUCAACUGGUGGUGGUUGGCCAUAAUGCAAGUCAUCCCUUCUCUGUUAUUUUGUACAGAUAUGUGAUUAUUUGUACAGACUUUUGUUCUUGCAAUAUUUCAUACAUGAGAUUCCUUAAUUAUACAUGCCAUACAUGUUCAUCGACAUCAUUAGUGAGCAAAUCAUUUUGCUCUAGAAACAACAAACACGUUUGAGAGUUCUAUGUUCAGUUGUGUAUGAUUGUUUUUUUUUGUUGUGCUAUCUUUGGCUAUAAUUUAAUUCAUACUCAAAAUGAUAAGCCCAGAGCAUAUUUUCUCUUUAUCUUACUAAGAAAAUCAUUGUGUUUAUAAUUUAUAUGUUGAACAGUACUUGUGCUAUGCAUAUUUCAAUGGGUCAUGAAUUAAAUUGAAUGUGAAUGUUGUGCAUAUGUGAUUUUUUUCAUUUCAGCUGAGCGUGAAGUGUGUGAAAUUUGCUCAAGGGCCAUCCUGUCAAGGCCAUUAUGAAGAAAGGGAAGGUAAUGCGCUGCCACCCGCUGUACCUUGUUCCUUCUUAGUUCUGUUUGUAUGCAUUUGGACAAUUUUCAUUUAAAUUCAGUUAGUAAAUUAAGAUGCUUGGGGUGACAUAGUUCUUUAAGGAUUAGUUUCAAUGUGGACUGUUUUAUAAUUCCAGUAAAAUUAUAACUGCAUGGUUUUGUAAAUUAUAACUGCGUCGUUUUUUCUGUAUGCAUAAAAUCUACAUUGUACCAUGUCCCCGAUAUCAUGCAUUGCCUUGAUACACUACUAUACAGUGCCAUCCCCUUGUGUUCAUGGAUUCUGUUUCAGCCUUGUAUCUUAAUAACCAUUGAGCAGUUGAUUAAGCAAUGUAAUAAAUUAAAUUCAAAGUUUACUUGGCAAGCAAGUGUUGUUUACUAUUGUCACUACUUUGAGAUGAACUAUAAACAUUCAGUUUCAUGUGUCCGUGUGGUGGAUAUUGUUUCAUUGUCAUGCCAUUUGUUUGGCGGAUUUAUGUCCUCCAUUGCUCCAGUACUUGGGAGUUCCGUGAUGUGUAUUUUGUGGCUUUGACACUUAUAUGUCAACUUGAUUACAUUUUCAGUUCACACAUUUCUUUGGAUUAAUUUUAAGCAACCCAAUGUUCAUUCUUUGUUUUCUAGUACAUACUUUGUUAUUCUCUUUUAUAGGCAUUGCAAGAUUUAAGAAUUUUUGACGUGUAAUUCAUUUUUUUAUGUUUGUUCUAAGUCUCUUAUUUCUGCAAUCUAUUCAUAUAUACAAAUCUGUCGUGUUGUAACUAUUUGUAUAAUUAGGUCCCAUGCUACCUGUUGUUUCUUUUCACACAUUUAAUUAAAUUUGUUGCACUAUGCACCCUGGGAGUGAAAAAAUAUAGAAUGUAAAAACAUGUACUCCCUCCAUAAAGAAAUAUAAGAGUGUUUAGAUCACUAAAGUAGUAGUGAUCUAAACACUCUUAUAUUUUUUUACAGAGGGAGUACUAAGCUACUUCUAGUUUACCUAUUGGCUAUAAUAUUUUAUGAAGUGACAAAUGUUUCAUCAUCUGGCAGCUAUUGAUUUAUCGGAGCAUUUUCAGCAACAAAGAUGUGUGUUUUGAUGACUUCAGCAUGGACGGGCGGACUUGUGGCUAGAAAAGCGGAUUGAUGGGGGCGGUGUUGGCUGUACAGUAGCAUAGUGUGCUCCAAAACAUGCUUGUAAACUUAAUGUUUUUUGGGUAUUUUCUUUUUGGUCCUGUAGUGGUGUGUUUUUUGUUGUGUUUGUGUAAUUUUCAUUUUUUAGUGACAUGAGCAUAUAUUUUCUGUAAAAUUCUUAUUGGCUUAAAGUUUCAAUGGACGCAGAGAAACGAGAGAUGAGCUAAUUUUCUAGACUGAAAUUAAUCGGCCUUAAAUGAAAUUAAUGCUUUUAUGUUCUAAUUGGGUUGAUUACUAUAUGGG